ensembl:lncRNA
GAUGGAUCAUCUCCACUGAACAGAAGUAGCUGCUUCCUCUCUACUUUUCUCAAUGUUUGAUUAUGACUUCUGCUGCUGAGGUCAUCAUGAACUUCUCCACCGCCGCUGUCUCUGCGACGACGUUUGAGCCGACGCCGUAUGUGCCGAUGCCGUCGACUUUCCCGACGCCGUUUGAGCCGACCUCUCCUCCUCCUGGAGUAGUGACGGAGAUACUGACGAAGGGUGAUGUCAGGAGAGGAGUAUGUGAAGGAGUGAGAGCGACGCCUCCAGGGUCUGUUGCCACGGAGAUAAGAGCUGACACACUGAUACCAGCUGGCCCUUGUUUCCAUGGCAGCGGGAGGGGAGGGGGGGGGGGGGGUCCAAAGCCCCCCUGUUGUGUACUGUUGUCCUUACACCUUUUGGCAGCCACGUGGAUGACGGCGUGUUCGCGGCUUUGAUUGCAGCCAUCGCCGUCUCCGUGCUGCUGCUGCUCGUCUGCAUCGGCGUGCUGCUGCUGUGGAGCUCGUCCAGACACAAAGGCUCCUACGCCACCAACGAGACGGAGGGCGAGGAGGGCGAGGACGAGGAGGAGGCGCUCCAGAGGACCAGGGUGGAGGACUGAGGAGGAGGAAACCUUUAACAUGAAGACUCCCGCUGAGGUGUGGAGGACUAAAAAGAGCUUUUUCUACACUGAGGACAUUUUUCAGAAAAGAGCCGAUCUCAUAAAUCUGCAGGAAGCAACUCUGCUCAUUUUGUGGGACAAAAACUCUCGGACAUUUGAGAUUGUCCAAUAAAAU